UGCAGACAGUUACGAAAUUCUUGGUAUACUAUGCUGGCGAUCUGGCGAAUGUUUUCUUUAUCGUCACUGUGGGAACAGGUCUUUAUUGGCUUAUUUUCUUCAAAGCACAGAAGUCUGUCUCUGUUUUGCUACCAUUGCCAGCUCAGGAAGAACGUUUUGUUACUUAUGUGGCAUGUGCUUUUGCUCUGAAGGCUCUGCAAUUUUUGCAUAAGCUCAUAUCCCAGGUUACCAUAGAUAUAUUCUUUAUUGAUUGGGAGCGACCUAAAGGAAAGGUUCUUAAAGCUAUUGAAGGUGAGGGUGAUGUACGGAGUGCUACAGUUCCUGUAAGCAUAUGGAGAACAUAUUUUGUAGCAAAUGAAUGGAAUGAAAUUCAGACUGUGAGAAAAAUUAAUCCACUCUUUCAAGUACUUACUGCCCUCUUCCUUUUGGAGGUAUAAACUAUUUGAUGUAAUUAUAUGCAACUAUGGAUACCUCAUAAAUGUUAAUUUAAUUUAACUCCAGCUAAAUUUUCAUGUCAGCAAAA